AUGGAAAAAAAGCGGAGCAAGCAAUCUUGUACACUUGCUUUUCCUUUCUUUCGUUGUUCAACGUCGCCCCAACACCGCUUGUAACGAUAAAGUAGUACCCUAAUGAAGAAAUAGUUUUUUUUUGGAAAAAAAAAGAAAAGAGAAAGAAAUGUUCCUUUGAUUUUUUUG
rnacentral:ribozyme from 1 species